rnacentral:lncRNA from 1 species
ACUCCACUAAUGGCAGAUUGCAUGUGCAAGGCUUCUCCUUCCUUUGGACUGCACGGCACUCCUUCUUUCUCCGCCUUUAGUGGCUGCACAAGGUGGAUGAAUGGUUAUGGAAGGAUGUAGGAAUGGUUUGGGGAAGAGGAUAGUGCGGCAAGGUUGAAUUUGGGCAGAAAGUUGGGAGUUUGGGGAUGGAAGGCUGCGGCAAAGUGGGAAAUAGGGUUUUGGACGAAUUUCUGAAUAUGGAGAGGGUGUUCUUCGGCCAAGGGAGGUAAAACACAUAUAUAUAGGCAGCCAAACCCUAAAGAAAUCAGGUUAGACAAAUGGGCUAGGGUUUAGGUGCGGCUAGGGUUAGGAAAUCCACCAAAAACUAGGGUUUCUAGAACAUUAGGUGCGGCAUGGGCUUAGGGUAAGUAAUCAGAUUUUUUUCAUGUGAACAAGGCCUAGGUGCGGCUGAUUAAGUGGGCUAGGGUUAGGGUUAGGUGCGGCAUAGGUCCAAGAGGCAAAGAUGGGUCAUCCAAAAGCCCAAAGCCAAGAAUAGAAACUCUCGAAAAUGGAAACCUCCAAGAAUAGAAACUUCCAACUUUAGAAACUUUAGUUGCCAAUUCCGACUUCUUUGUUCUUUACUUUCAUUUCUUCAUUUCUUAAGCUCCCUCGACCUUCAAACUCGUCCAUUCCUUGUUCCAAGCAUGUACUUUUCAAUCCAAGCUCACUUUUGCUCUAAAAUGCUCCAUUUUGCCAUCUUUUAUGUCAUAUGCCCUUUGAACCUGAAAACACAUGAAAGUAGCUCAAAAGACUAAUUUAACUAAGAAAACAUAACGAAAAUGCAUAAGAACUAGCUAACUAAGGCGCAUAAAUAUGCUCCUAUCAGUCAUCUAAUUUAGGGGUUAAUAUGAGUAUAUAUAGGCACUUAAAACCCUAGGGGAAUCAGAUAUGGACUUGAAAAACCCAAAUCCACAAGGAAUUAGGUUAAAACAAUCAGAAAUCCUAAGGGAUAAGGAAUAGGGGUGCGGCAGGAUUUAUGGGACAUGGAUAGGCCUUCUAGAAUGCCUUGCAAGGCAAGGAAUUAGGGCAUCUAGAAGCUAGGGUGCGGCACCAAAGUAGGGAUUAAGGAUAGGGUUUCUAGAAAGCCCCAAAACUGAUAGGAAUUGCAUGAAACCCACGGCAAGGAUGGAAACUUUCUAGAAACUUCUCAUUUGUGUCCUACAACACUUAGGAGUCCUUCUAGCAUUAGGAAAACAUGUCUCAAUCCUCUCUUGACUUGGAAUUCUUCUUCUACUUCAUCUUGGAAACCUUUCCUUCUUGGACUUGGAAAUCUUCUUUGUAGCUG